AGCCUGAUGCAGCGACGCCGCGUGAGGGAUGACGGCCUUCGGGUUGUAAACCUCUUUCAGCAGGGAAGAAGCGAAAGUGACGGUACCUGCAGAAGAAGCGCCGGCUAACUACGUGCCAGCAGCCGCGGUAAUACGUAGGGCGCAAGCGUUGUCCGGAAUUAUUGGGCGUAAAGAGCUCGUAGGCGGUUUGUCGCGUCUGCUGUGAAAGCCCGGGGCUCAACCCCGGGUCUGCAGUGGGUACGGGCAGACUAGAGUGCAGUAGGGGAGACUGGAAUUCCUGGUGUAGCGGUGAAAUGCGCAGAUAUCAGGAGGAACACCGAUGGCGAAGGCAGGUCUCUGGGCUGUAACUGACGCUGAGGAGCGAAAGCAUGGGGAGCGAACAGGAUUAGAUACCCUGGUAGUCCAUGCCGUAAACGUUGGGCACUAGGUGUGGGGGACAUUCCACGUUUUCCGCGCCGUAGCUAACGCAUUAAGU
rnacentral:rRNA from 2 species